GUCAUAUGCUUGUCUCAAAGAUUAAGCCAUGCAUGUCUCAGUACAAGCCAAAUUAAGGUGAAACCGCGAAAGGCUCAUUAAAUCAGUUAUGGUUCCUUAGAUCGUACCCACAAUUACUUGGAUAACUGUGGUAAUUCUAGAGCUAAUACAUGCAAACAGAGCUCCGACCGGAGACGGGAGGAGUGCUUUUAUUAGAUCAAAACCAAUCGGUGGCGGGUUCAACGCUCGUUAUCGUACAACUUGGUGACUCUGAAUAACUUUACGCUGAUCGCACGGUCAUCGCACCGGCGACGCAUCUUUCAAAUGUCUGCCUUAUCAACUGUCGAUGGUAGGUUCUGCGCCUACCAUGGUUGUAACGGGUAACGGGGAAUCAGGGUUCGAUUCCGGAGAGGGAGCCUGAGAAACGGCUACCACAUCCAAGGAAGGCAGCAGGCGCGCAAAUUACCCACUCCCGGCACGGGGAGGUAGUGACGAAAAAUAACGAUACGGGACUCAUCCGAGGCCCCGUAAUCGGAAUGAGUACACUCUAAACCCUUUAACGAGGAUCAAUUGGAGGGCAAGUCUGGUGCCAGCAGCCGCGG
rnacentral:rRNA from 1 species